GAAAGACUUAGUAUAUCUUUGUUGUCAAUAGAUUUAUAGUUCAUUGCACAAUUCUUAAUUAAGAUUAACAAGAGCACCCGAUGAUGAAUCUAAAUACGACAGGUUACAAUUCGUUGUGACACAUUCAUAUAAGAAAUUGAUGCAACUAAAUGUUUACACUCAUGAACAUAGUUGAUACCCGGAAUGACAAUAUUCCAAUUCUACUCUUUAAUACCUUUAAUACAUUUCUUAAACUUUCAUUUCUUGCAUCCAAUGCCCCCUCCCAUACCAGUUCCACCGUCGUGUUAUGUUAUGGUUGCUCCGUUUGUGCAACAUCAUACACAGUGUUUCACUAGGACAACACUAGAAGUCGUAUUGAUCAACGCAGUAUGGGUUUCACUCAUCAAAAUGAUAUUGAAGAGUUUCCUUGAUCAGUGUCUGGAUCUUUCUGGAAUCGAUCACUUAUAUAAUGUUUAGUCAUAUCCGUAUCCGUCCCACCAGACACUUUAUAUCACAAUAUGAGCUCUGAUUCUGAAAAUUUUAUUUCAUUUUUGAAAAUAUACUUUUAUGAUAGUUUGUAUAUAACUUUAACCAUAAUCAUUAAUAAAAUUAAAAUUGAAUAAAUAAAAUGGUAAAUCAAUUUUUGCUUCAAUCAGAGUCUCUAAGUGGGUUGUUUAACACAGAUAUCAAUAACACAAGUUUAUAUACAUUAUUUUUUCUGUCAUUGAAAUAGUAAAUCACAAUUUGUACAAUACAAAUAUUAGACACCAAAAUUAUAGCUAAUAUUGCUUUAAGAACACCGUGUGCAGCGCAUCUGGAACAGUGCUAGAAUCCCUAAGACAAAAUCAACAAAUCAGUGAACUACACAUACCGUAUUGUGGGUAGUUUUGGACGUCGAAAAUAUUCAGUAGGUUAGUAGCCAAAAGGGUUGGCAUUCUAAUUUUUUGAAUUUUCAUUAGACAAGUAUGUCAUUCAUAUUAAAUUAGUUAAUAAAUAUUUGAUUGUGUUUAUAAUAUUCUAUUAAGGAUGUACUCUCGUGGUAAUUUUACCUCGAGUGAGUCUCCAUACUUUAUAAGGUCGUAAUUAUGGGGAUGCGUGUGUUUAUUUCGUAUGCACAAAACAGAACAUUGAUAUAUGUUUUGGUUUGUAAGUAAUGUCAAUAAACUAACAAAAAUCAAUUAAAACAUGACAAUUUUUUUACUUAUUUUCUCAUUUUACGACAUUCAUGAUGACGUUACGAUUGUAAACAAACUCGAGCUCGAAGACGCACACUGUACGAUGUCGCAUUUAGUCUAUUCUAAAGCAGUCCAGAAACAUACAUGGGCGAUUCAUUAGAAGUAAAAUGACAGUUAUAGAUCAGUCUGCAUCCGAUAUUCUCACAAGUGAGUGGCAGACAAAGAAAAUUACAGACAAGCAGGCACAACCACGCACAUGGUGGCACACUACAGUACUGUACAUAAUGUCAGACGAGAGCGGAAAAUGGAAGAAUGUUAGCGAUGUAGCACCCGAAUCAGAGGCUGCUGAUAUAGUGUUGAAUGAUUUCUACAUCCAUUUGGUAACCACAGUGAGAGGGAUGAGUUGUGCUAUCAUCAUGUGAAGAACCAUACCAGGAAGUGCAGAUUUCUUCCUCAUGGCAACAUGGAAGUUGACUGUUAAAACUAGUUUCUGGAUAAUAACUCAAGUACUUUGCAUUCCAUUCAACAGGGAAUGCUUACUCCUCCUAGGCACCUGAUCCCACCUCUGGUGUGUCCAGGGGUCCGUGUUUGCCCAACUAUCUAUUUUGUAUUGCUUGUAGGAGUUAUGAGAUUGAUCACUGUUCGUUAUCUUCACCUUGCAUUCAAACCAAAUUUGGACAUAUGGAGACGUGUACAUACAAAGAAGGAAAUAUGUCUAUCAAUAUGGGGGUAAGAAGAUCAAAGAUCAAGGUCACAGUGCAUGGAAAUUAAAAAAAUGCUGAUGUGGGGGCAAAUGUUUUAUACAUUCUUUAAUUAUAAAUGAAUUAGUAUUGUAUAUAUGUGUAUAGAUUAUCUAUGUUUUCUGAUUAUUUAUCAUAUAGUGAAAUAAAUAUAUAGAAUUUGUAAAUAUGAAUUGAAAAAUACACAUUUUAUAACAAAUCGUAUAUUGUUAUUGUUUAUAAUGUAUGUCAGUGUAAGAAGUGGGUGGGAGACACAAAAUGGUUAAAAUAUUUGUUCCAAUGCACACUACACCACACAUUUUUUUUCCAUUUAAAUUAAGCAAAAAUAUUAUUCAAAUCUACAUUAGUAAUUUCAGAAAAAGUUUGAUACAGAUAUUCUCCCUAGGUUGAAUUUUUUGAUGAAAUAGGUCUUCAAAUUUGUGUGAUAUUUUAUACAAUUAUGUUAAUUAAUACUUGAUUUUUUGUAGAAUUAGUGAUAUAUUUCAUGUAAAAGUUAUUGAAAUAAUCAAUUAUGCUUAAUUUUCAUAAAAUAAAAGAAAGUCAAUAUUA